UGUUUAUCUUUAUCAUUCGAAAGGAACAGUAACUUCCCGAUUUUGCCCCCCCCCCCUUUUUUUUCGAAAUUGCCCUUCUGCUUUUGGCUCUUUCUUUUCCCCCCUUUUUCUGCUUGCCAUUACCUUCCGUUUUCCUUUGAACUGAACCCCUUCUCACUCCAUAUUUCCUUUAUCUCAUUCUCCUCCAUUGAAGGAACUUUUAUGCUUUCCUCUCCAUUAUCGAUGCAGCUCGCGAGGUUGAGGAAUAUGAAAAGGUUGAGGAAGAAGUAAAGGAAGAAGUAACGAAUGAUGAAAAUGAUACAAUAGUGGCGGAAAAAAAGGUUCGAACUCGGGUAAAGAGGAUGCGAAUUUUGCGAAACAAGAACAAUUCAACCUCGGACGAGUUGACUGAUGGGUGACUCGGACAAUGACUCGAGAAGACAGUCGAACAACUUCACAGGACCGGAUCCAUGGUCUCCAUUCUCAAUGGUGAGGCGUGUAUGAAUGCUCAAGCAAUCAAGAAAUUUGUGGAGAAGAAUAAAAAAUCGGCGGCUAAAUGUGUGAAUUUAGCGUUUCAGUGUUCGAUUAUUCAUGCCCUUUCAAAUGUGAGAUGCAUUGAUUUGGAAUUACGGGUUGUUGUAGGGUGAGACGUGUAUUAGUGUUCGAUUACUACAUGCAUCAAUAACCAGGAGAACAUUUGCCAUUGAGCCCAAGCUCUACAACGGUUUUAUCAGUUGGAGGAACAGGUUAAAAGAGAAAUACCUUUAAAGUUUUACCUCAUCUUAAAGCCAUCUCUUACAGCAAUUAAUAUGAAGAAAGUUAUUGUAAAGCUGCUCUGAGGCAUCAUCCUAAUAAGACUCGUCAGUUAUUGCAAGAGCCGAAAGUGGAGAUGAUGGCCUCUGGAAUUGCUUAGCUUUGUAUAACCAAGGGUUUGCUUAGCUUUGUAUAUUUACUUACUUAUUUUUCCUGUUUUCAUGUACAAUAAGCUUUUAUUCGUUUGGGUUUGCCAACCUUUUGCUUUUGUUUUAUGGGUCUUGCUUAUUUUCAAAAAAUAUUAUGUUCUCAUUUGUGCUAUGAUAUGAUGAAUAGAGAUUAAUAAUUUUUUUAUCGAGAUUAUGUUUAGUUUCCGCAAUAUAUUUGUGAAUGUUGGUUCGAUUGGAAAAACUGAAAAAUGUUUUUCUUAUCUUUUCUUUUCCCAUAAUUUAACUUGUACAUCUUCUUGUUUGCGCUUUCCAGCCUGGUUUCAAGGCAGUAGAGAACAGGAAUGAGGUUUUGAUAACUAGAAAUUAUAUUGAAAAAGACUAGGAAUACCCCUGCACAAAUUCUUGCAGUAUUGCUGAGAGAAAAGUGAGUUUUUGAUGAACUCUUAUCGUGCUGCUAGAGAUGAAGGCAGGGGUGAACCUGAUUUGUUAACCUGUGAUCAACCUUCAAAGUUUGUGAUGCGUAAAUCUUAAUUUCAAGUUUUAUGCAGCUCUUUUCUUGACUUUAUUAAGAUGGUCUUAUGUGAGUUCACUGGGACUAUUGCUUGUUGAAUGUUAUUCUCAGAUUCUCUUACUACACAGCCGGUACUGGAGGUGCUGGUCCAACAGUAUUGUCGACAAGCUUUUUACUUCUCGGAGAAGAGGUUAUUGCCUACAACUAAGGAUCCAAAAGGUCUAAAGAUGAGAAAUCAUGCAUUUCAUCAAUACCAUAACAAUGUAGCUUGGCACAAUGCUAUGUCUCAAACUCAGAAGGCUUCAGGGAAAGACUGUUAGAAUUGCACUAAUUAUUGAUCUGAACAAGAUUAGGGCAGCAUGGAGUAACAUUGAUGGAAGAGAGCACAUGGAGAAUCUGCUUCUGUUGAAAGGUUCUGUGAAUCUGUGGUGUUUAUAGUUGAGGGCUAUCAUUCACUGCCAUUCAGCCCCUUACUAUCCUCUUUCGAAAGAUAUUGUUAUACAAUGACAACAUCAUGCACACAGGGUUUUCCUUAUAAAUAUCGAGUUGCAUCCAGGCGCUCUUUAUCUUUUAGGUGGUGCGCACCUAUCAGGGGACUGUGUGAGGCAAGACAUGGGCUCUGCUAUGUGGUGUUUUCACAGAGCAACAGAGAAGGAGCUUCCUUAAUGUUUCUGCGUGCUUCAAUAAUGGAGAGGAAAGCAUAAAAGUUCCUUCAAUGGAGGAGAAUGAGAUAAAGGAAAGAUGGAGUGAGAAGUUUCGGUUCAAAGGAAAGAGAAAGGUAAUGGCAAGCAGAAAAGGGGGAAAAAGAAAGAGUCGACACGUGCUACAGCGACCAAUAACCAUACCAUCCAUAACCUUUGUUUUUGAUGGCAUGGACUUGACAUUGGACCAAGACAACUUCCUACUCCGUAGUACUUCCACCAGCAUCGCAUGCCUCGCAAUGGCGGCUGCCCCGAAAAACCCCAACUCUGCCCUCAAUAUCAUUGCCAACAUGCAGCAACAGAACCACAGGGUUGUCUAUGAUGUCCCUAACAAAAGGAUUGACAUUUCUCGUGAAACUUGUAGUUAGAAUUUUUAAUUUUUUGUUAAGGAUGUUGGGAGUGUUAAGUUAAAGCUUGUUCAUUCCCUGAGAUAAAACAUAAUGUAUUAGUAUAAGUGAUGUUAUAAAUUAUGUCUUGAAGUAA